GGUGGAUUGGCUGGAUUAAAACAGGACAUAUUAGCAGCAUUUAACCUUCAGUUACUCUUUAUGUAGUUAGAUAGGAGUCGUGUUUCUUUUUAGCUGAAAAACCUUACACCCAGAGAGACAGCCAGGUUCAUAAUGGAUAUAAGGAAGGCUUUUUCAAAAACAGGAGCCACAUUCAGAUCACCAUUGUGAUGAACCAGAAUGAACCCCUCAGUUUCUUGCACCGUCACAAUGAGGCUUUUUCCACCGAGCCUCUGAAAAACACUGGCAAAGGAGCUCCUCUGGGCUUUUACCACGUCCAGAAUAUUUCUGUCGAAGUUACAGAGUCUUUUAUUGAGAACAUCAAGAGCAAGCCCGUCGUGUUUGAAGUGUUCAGCCACUACCAGCAGCACCCGCUGCACCUCCAUGGCCAGGACGUGAACAGAAACUGUCCUGAGGAGACAGCUUCAGGAUCAAUGACAUGUCAUUCACACCAAUGAAGACGUGAGAUCUGAAUGGCAUCAGGCAAAGUUGCUAAGCUUGACAUCACAGACAACAACGACGGCACAGUUGCUGUCGAAUAUGCUCCCACAGAGGCCGGUCUGCAUGAGAUGGAUCCAUGCACAUCCCGGGAAGUCCCUUGCAGUUCUACGUGGAUUACAUGUGCCUAUGGCCCUGGCCUUAUCCACGGGACGGUCAACAAGCCAGCUGUCUUUACUGUUAAC